AUUUUUUAAUUGAUAAUCCACGAUUUUAAUUACUUUAAAUCUUAGUUUGUAUAUCGUCGUAGUUUGAAUAUUUUAAAAUUAAAUAUUUUCAGAUCAAGAUGCAGUUUAUUUUAAAGUUAAAAUGGGUUACAUUAUAAAUGUUAAUUAAAUUGGAUUUGAUAGUAAGCUCUAAGGUAUGUACAUAUCGCCCGUCGCUUUCAUAUAAAGUGAAAUAAGUCGUAACAAAGUAGGUUUAUUGGAAAAUGAACCUAGAAUGCAAAUUAGAGCUUGAAAAGUAUUUUAUUUACAUUAAAAGGAUACCUUAAUUAGGUUUAAUUUGAAUAGGAAAUCUUAUUAAAUUUGAUUGUUUAUUUUUAUUAAUUAAAGAUUUAUUGAUUUUAUUUUGUUAAAGAAAAAAUUUUAUUAUAGUGAAUUAGUAUAGUGAUAGAAUUAUUAAAAUAUAAAUAAGAAAUUUUUAUUUAUUGUACCUUGUGUAUCAGGGUUUAUUAAUUUAGUGUUCCCGAAUUUUUAAGAGUUAUUUUUAUUGUGAAAUAAAUAUUUAAAAUAAUUAAAUAGUAAUGAAACGUUAUUCGUUUAAAAGUUUAUCUGGUUUUUUUAGAAAUAAAUUUAAUUAUUUUAGUAUUUAAAUAUAUUUUAAGGGAUAAUCUUUUAAAUAGAUUUCUAUAAGUUAAUAAAGUUAUUUAAGAAAUAGGAUUGGAAUUUUUCAUUUUUAAUAUAAUGUUAUAAUAAAAGGUUUAGAUUAUUUAUAAAAAAAUUAAUUAAAAUUUUUUUAAUUAAGUUAUAAUGAUAAAAUUAGUAAGAUAUUAAUAAGGAAUUAGGCAAAUUAUUUUUCACCUGUUUAAUAAAAACAUGUCUUUUAGAUUAUAAUUUAAAGUCUGACCUGCCCAAUGAUUUAAUGGCUGCAGUAUUUUGACUGUACAAAGGUAGCAUAAUCAUUAGUUUUUUAAUUGAAAGCUUGUAUGAAGGGUUGGAUGAGAAAAUGACUGUCUUUAGAAUUUUAUUUUUAAGUGAAAAAGCUUAAAUUUAAUAGAAAGACGAGAAGACCCUAUAGAGUUUUACAGGGGUGAUUUUAAAAUUAAUGUAACUUUUAAUUUU
rnacentral:rRNA from 1 species